ensembl:misc_RNA
CAGUUCUGCUAGGUCCCGCCGGUCGCCUUCCUCGCUCACUUUAUGGAUCCAGCUGAACCGGACUGGAGAGCUGAGGCUGCGCUUCCCCGGGGUCGCACGUAGCGGAGAGGCGCCUAGGGCGAUGGUGUUGGGGAAGAGGCUGAUAAACUUUAGGAGAGGGUGCAGGGUACUCCCGGUACUCCCGGGUCGCCC